CUGGGCUNGAAGCGCAGUGGACCGGGGUAGAAAUAUCCCUUUCCGCAAGGACUGCUGCGGAGGUGCUGCAUGGCUGUCGUCAGCUCGUGUCGUGAGAUGUUGGGUUAAGUCCCGCAACGAGCGCAACCCUUAUCCCUAGUUGCCAUCGGGUCAAGCCGGGCACUCUAGUGAAACCGCCCCGGAUAACGGGGAGGAAGGUGGGGAUGACGUCAAGUCCUCAUGGCCUUUAUGUCCAGGGCUACACACGUGCUACAAUGGUCGGUACAAACCGUCGCAAACCCGCGAGGGGGAGCUAAUCGGAAAAANCCGACCUCAGUUCGGAUUGGAGUCUGCAACUCGACUCCAUGAAGCUGGAAUCGCUAGUAAUCGCAGAUCANCACGCUGCGGNGAAUA
rnacentral:rRNA from 1 species